rnacentral:rRNA from 1 species
AUACGUAGGGGGCGAGCGUUGUCCGGAAUGAUUGGGCGUAAAGGGCGCGUAGGCGGCCCGGUAAGUCUGGAGUGAAAGUCCUGUUUUUAAGAUGGGAAUUGCUUUGGAUACUGUCGGGCUUGAGUGCAGGAGAGGUAAGUGGAAUUCCCAGUGUAGCGGUGAAAUGCGUAGAGAUUGGGAGGAACACCAGUGGCGAAGGCGACUUACUGGACUGUAACUGACGCUGAGGCGCGAAAGUGUGGGGAGCAAACAGGAGUAGAUACCCUGGUAGUCCACACUGUAAACGAUGAAUGCUAGGUGUAGGGGGUAUCGACCCCUUCUGUGCCGCAGUCAACACAAUAAGCAUUCCGCCUGGGGAGUACGGCCGCAAGGUUGAAACUCAAAUGAAUUGGCGGGG